rnacentral:rRNA from 1 species
CCUACGGGGGGCUGCAGUGGGGAAUCUUGGACAAUGGGGGCAACCCUGAUCCAGCCAUUCCGCGUGAGUGAAGAAGGCCUUCGGGUUGUAAAGCUCUUUUGUUCGGGAAGAAACGGUUUCACCUAAUACGUGAGACUACUGACGGUACCGGAAGAAUAAGGACCGGCUAACUACGUGCCAGCAGCCGCGGUAAUACGUAGGGUCCAAGCGGUAAUCGGAAUUACUGGGCGUAAAGCGUGAGCAGGCGGUUGAAAUCCCCGGGCUUAACCUGGGAAUGGCAUUUGGGACUGCACGGCUAGAGUACGGCAGAGGGGACUAGAAUUCCUGGUGUAGCAGUGAAAUGCGUAGAUAUCAGGAGGAAUACCGAUGGCGAAGGCAGGUCCCUGGGUCGAUACUGACGCUCAUGCACGAAAGCGUGGGGAGCAAACAGGAUUAGAUACCCCAGUAGUC